CUCGUCUUAUCCAUAAGAACUAGCCUGUCAUAUAGUAGGAUAAGUAGGCUAUAUGAUUUUA
rfam:Wencheng Sm shrew coronavirus isolate Xingguo-101 ORF1ab polyprotein, spike glycoprotein, envelope protein, membrane protein, and nucleocapsid protein genes, complete cds